rnacentral:rRNA from 1 species
UACGUAGGGUGCGAGCGUUGUCCGGAAUUAUUGGGCGUAAAGGGCUCGUAGGCGGUUUGUCGCGUCGGGAGUGAAAUCCACUGGCUUAACUGGUGGCUUGCGGUCGAUACGGGCAUCACUGGAGUUCGGCAGGGGAGACUGGAAUUCCUGGUGUAGCGGUGAAAUGCGCAGAUAUCAGGAGGAACACCGGUGGCGAAGGCGGGUCUCUGGGCCGAUACUGACGCUGAGGAGCGAAAGCGUGGGGAGCGAACAGG